GAUGAACGCUAGCGGCAGGCCUAAUACAUGCAAGUCGGACGGGAUUCAGGAGCUUGCUUCUGAUGAGAGUGGCGCACGGGUGCGUAACACGUAUGUAACCUACCUUUAUCAGGGGGAUAGCCUCUCGAAAGAGAGAUUAAGCCCGCAUAAAAUCACAGCACAGCAUUGUGUAAUGAUCAAAUAUUUAUAGGAUAAAGAUGGGCAUGCGGAACAUUAGCUAGAUGGCGGGGUAACGGCCCACCAUGGCGACGAUGUUUAGGGGAUCUGAGAGGAUGGCCCCCCACACUGGUACUGAGACACGGACCAGACUCCUACGGGAGGCAGCAGUAAGGAAUAUUAGUCAAUGGGCGGAAGCCUGAACCAGCCAUGCCGCGUGCAGGAAGACGGCCCUACGGGUUGUAAACUGCUUUUAGACGGGAAUAAACCCAGAUACGUGUAUCUGGCUGAAUGUACUGUAAGAAUAAGGAUCGGCUAACUCCGUG
rnacentral:rRNA from 1 species